AUUUUUUUAGAAAAAAGGUUGCCUUAGGUUAAAACUUCUGAUUUCUGAUAACAGGAUUACAACAUAAGAAAGACACUUGAUCAUAAAACUAGCUAUUAGCCACAUCCAAGCAGCUUUGACUCCUUUUGUUUACUAUUUACAGCUCAGUGGGACACCUAAUCUACCAUCAAUUUCCAUUGAUAUAAGGCCUAGGGGUCAAAUCACCCUCUGAUGCUGUAAGCUGCCAAUUGCUGUAACCCAGAGUUGCAUUACUACUACUGGGUUGGUAUUGGUCCCCCAUCCCAAUAUUAAAUCUAUGAUCAGAUGAGUACCCAAUAUGGUGAUGAAAGUGUUUUGCUUGAGGGUGGUGAUUGGGGUACUCGUCCAGUAGCUCACCUUGAGUGAGCAAAGCAAUCUCACUUGAAACUCCAACAACCUCUUGUAAUGAGCUCCAAUUUGCAUAUGCUUGUCUCAUCACAUUCUGAAUGUAACCCCCAUAAAUUGGUGGAAGAUCCGAAGUAGAGUAUGUUUGUCCAUUAAUAGUGGCACUAACAACUUCGCAUAUGGGGUUUACUGUGACAAUCAAAUUCUCUCCUUGAAAAAUGUAAUGUUUGUUUCCCAGCUCACAUGUUAUCGCGUGCUUUAUUGUUACUUCCCAUAUUUUCUCGGACAUCCCAGGACCUAAAAUCCUUCUAAGCUUUUGUUGGUCGACAGUGGACAACUUCAAGAAUUCUUGAACAGUAUUAAUGCCCUCAGCAGCUAGCUUUCUGUGGAAAGCUCCAUCUUUCCCAAUCUUCUCAAGACGCCAUACUUCAUCAUUCAACCUUGGUGGGUGAUGCUUCUUGUACAAUUCUCCUCGAUGAUCCUUGACAACAAAAGGUUCAGUCAUUGCUUCACGAAUCCGAGCACCGUGGAAGCUCCCCGGAACCACUCUUGCACCAAGCCUAAAUUUCCUGCUUCUAAUCCAGCUUGAAUUAUCGGUGAACUCAAUCUCUCCGAGUGCUGCAAUUCCAUCUCUUAAAGUGACCGUCAAGCAAUCUCCUGCAAGCAAAGGCCGCUUGCCCGUUCUCUCCUUCAAUAUAUUGUUGUCAAACUCUUCACUACUCCAAGUAUUCCGAUCAUCAGAAGGGAAAUCUCCAUCAAGAGCGAGGAUUUCUAUUUUGAUUGGGUGAGGGAGAGAUGUUGGACACAUCGGAUCACCUCUUGUAUCUACUAAAAGGAUUUGAAGGGGUGAAUUAUCUAUAUCAACGAUUUUGCUCCCAGUAAAUAUUGGGAGCAAAAGAUCCUUUCUAAACUUUAGUUGCAGGCUAGAUGGUGAUGGCUCAGGUGCCUGGAUUCGCAAUGAAGGAGAUCGAGUGAAAGGGCGUGAUGAUGAACAUCGUUUCAGACUAUUCUCCACUUCUUCAUUAACCACUCUCCUGAGCAUUGGCUCUAUGACCUUACAGAAGUUCUGUAAAGAAUUCACCUUAACCGCUUUUGUAAUUACUGAAGCAAAAGAAGGUGUAGUUCUCAUUCGUUUCUCAUUUGGGUGAUCUGGGUCGCUACUUGAUUCACCAAACAAUCGUUUCGCUGCCAUAUUUAGAACCAAGAAAUUCAGAGGGAUGAUGAUGGGAAGUUGC
rnacentral:misc_RNA from 1 species